CACCACUAUCUUCACCGACAUCCCUAGGCCCUACCCUAUCAAUCUCAGGUCUUCGUUUGCACCCGUUGAAAAGUGGGUAUCUGUGACCCACGACCAUAGUGUAUUUUGCACUGUUCUGCAGUUGUUUUUCAACUUCUUGCGCCUCCGUGAUCCUCCAAAAAUUAUUAUAUAGCACUGUGACGAUUUAUAGUCGACUCGACAUUUUUGAGGAAAUUUUGGAAAAGUUAAGUCGUCCAGAUGAUUUGAAUGUUUCAGUUGAGGAUCAAGGAUAUGGAGCAUGGGUGAGAAGAGUUAGAAUGAUGGUUUAAGCAUAGAAGAUUUAUAUGGGUAUUGAAAGUUUUCAUUCAGUAAGCUUGUUGGGUUCUGAUGUUGUGAUUUGUUGGGAGAUUGAUGUUUAUAUUAAGACUUUGUAUUGUCUUAGAAUAGUUAUUCUGGAGUAAGUGAUGUAAAUAUAUGAGUAUUUUGUGCGAUAGAGAAAAAUUAGAGUAUGUACUAUGUGGAAGAAAAAUGAUUUUUAAGUGA